GUGGGGUAAUUUUCCGCAAUGGGCGAAAGUCUGACGGAGCAAUGCCGCGUGGAGGUGGAAGGCCUACGGGUCGUCAACUUCUUUUCUCGGAGAAGAAACAAUGACGGUAUCUGAGGAAUAAGCAUCGGCUAACUCUGUCGCCAG
rnacentral:rRNA from 1 species